AUAAGCGGAGGAAAAGAAACUAACAAGGAUUGACGUAGUAAGGGCGACUGAACUGUCAUGAGCUCACCGUGUGAAUCAGCGUACGUGAGUGCGCCGAAUUGUGGUCUGGAGGCGUAUGCGUUAUUGUGCUGGGCAAAGUCCCUUGGAAGAGGGCAGCACAGAGGGUGAUACUCCCGUUUGCCUGGUGCUUGGGCGUGCGCCAAAGAGUCGAGUUGUUUGGGAUUGCAGCUCAAAGCCGGUGGUAAAUUCCAUCGAAAGCUAAAUAUUGGCGGGAGACCGAUAGCGCACAAGUACCGUGAGGGAAAGAUGCAAAGAACUUUGAAAAGAGAGUUAAAGAGUGCCUGAAAUUGCUGAGAAGGAAGCGAAGGAAAGUAGUGAAAAGUUGCGCCAUACUUCCUGACCUGCUUGCAAGUUGGGCGCUGUGGUCAGCGAGGUUCGUUUUGGUUCAUCUGGUGGAAGGUGCAGUAGCAACGUAAUGUUGUAGCGGCUGGAUGUUGGGUGGACUGAGAGGAACAAAAUGGUUUUCUUUGCC
rnacentral:rRNA from 1 species